rnacentral:rRNA from 1 species
AGUUCAGAUUGCAGGCUGCAACCCGCCUGCAUGAAGUCGGAAUUGCUAGUAAUCGCGGAUCAGCAUGCCGCGGUGAAUACGUUCCCGGGCCUUGUACACACCGCCCGUCAAGCCAUGGAAGCCGGGGGUGCCUGAAGUGCGCUGCCGCAAGGAGCGCCCUAGGGUAAAACCGGUGACUGGGGCUAAGUCGUAACAAGGUAAC